rnacentral:rRNA from 1 species
GACGAACGCUGGCGGCGUGCCUAAUACAUGCAAGUAGGACGCACAGUUUAUACCGUAGCUUGCUACACCAUAGACUGUGAGUUGCGAACGGGUGAGUAACGCGUAGGUAACCUACCUAUUAGAGGGGGAUAACUAUCGGAAACGAUAGCUAAUACCGCAUAACAGUAUGUAACACAUGUUAGAUGCUUGAAAGAUGCAAUUGCAUCGCUAGUAGAUGGACCUGCGUUGUAUUAGCUAGUAGGUAGGGUAAAGGCCUACCUAGGCAACGAUACAUAGCCGACCUGAGAGGGUGAUCGGCCACACUGGGACUGAGACACGGCCCAGACUCCUACGGGAGGCAGCAGUAGGGAAUCUUCGGCAAUGGGGGGAACCCUGACCGAGCAACGCCGCGUGAGUGAAGAAGGUUUUCGGAUCGUAAAGCUCUGUUGUUAAGGAAGAACGAGUGUGAGAAUGGAAAGUUCAUGCUGUGACG